AGCUCCAAAAGUGUAUAUUUAAGUUGUUGCGGUUGAAAAGCUCGUAGUUGGAUUUUGGGACGGCGCGUCUGGUCGGUCGCAAGGCUUGUACUGCACGCGCUGUCCUCACGUGACCGGCGCCUCUAAGGUGCUCUUGACUGAGUGUCUUUGUGGUCCGGGAAGUUUACCUUGAAAAAAUUAGAGUGUUCAAAGCAGGCUUAAAGCUUGAAUAAUGUUGCAUGGAAUAAUGGAAUAGGACCUCGGUUCUAUUUUGUUGGUUUUCGGAGCGCGAGGUAAUGAUUAAGAGGAACGGACGGGGGCAUCCGUACUGUGCCGUUAGAGGUGAAAUUCUUGGAUCGGCGCAAGACGAACAACUGCGAAAGCAUUUGCCAAGAAUGUUUUCU
rnacentral:rRNA from 2 species